AGAGCAUGACCUUAGUGCCUCGAUUUUGGCAGUUUCUUAUGCCGUUACUGACGGAGGUGCAGCCAUUGGAAGCAGAGUUGCAAUGGCCUGCAAGGUUGAUUGCAGGGGUCCGGCCAUUGCCGAACUUGUUGAGGAAGGCUAUGUUAACGUAGGAGUAUUUGCCGGUGUUGCAGGUUUGAGUUAGGGUCCCUUCAUUGCCGUUUUGGCCCCAGUAGAUGGCGAUGCCACCGGCAUAAGAGGUCUGGAGGAAAGCUAGGACUGAGAGGGAGAUGAGCAGAGGUAUGGAUUGAGGGGUUCUAGCCAUUCUUGAAAGAGCUGGUGUGGCCUGUGCUUGAUUAAUGUGUGUGGGGGUGAGUCCUUUUUAUAGAGUUCUAGAGUUGAAGGUCGUGACUCCCAAACUUUAACCGAGUCAUGUCUUUUCUCGUUGGCUCUAUAAAUAUUAACAAAUAAUAAGAUUGAGAGAAGCUUCAAGACGAUAUUAAAAUGUUAUGAUAAUUGAGAUGGGCUUCUAGAGACAGAUAAAUGGAAUGGAGGAAGAGUGGGAGACAACCAACAUAGGAUACAAGAUAAAUAUUAACAAAUUACGGGAUUGAGAUAAGCUAGUAAAGAAGAUAUUAAAAUGUUAUGAUAGUGAGAUGAGCUUUCAGAGAUAGAUAAAUGUCGAUGGAGGAGUGGGAGACAAUCAACGUAGGCUAGAAGUUUCCCUUGAAUGUUGGACAUUUUCAGGACCUCACCAGUCUUUUGGCACGAGUCGAACUCCAUAAAAAACUCGAAAAUCCAUUAGCCGUUUGAUAAUAUUUUUACUUCAAGUGGUUUUAAUAAAAAUAUUUUCCUUUAAAGUGUAUUUAUUAGAAUCAUCUAAAUAUUUAUUAAAAAAAACUAUAUUUUUUAAAAUUUUAAAAAUAUUUCUUAAAUUUUAUCCAACACCUAAUAAUGUUUUUUUUAGAAACAUUUUUUAAGGUAAAAAGGCUUCCUAUUUUUUGGCAAAUGUACUCAAGUUUUGUCACAUACGUGUAACUUUCUCAUCUUAUAGUCAAAGGAAUCCAGUUGAGUGCUUGAGAGACUUGGUUGAGCUGGGUGAAGCUGGUAGCUGGUUCCAUUGAAGUCGUCUCCACCGAGCCUUCAAUGCCACUGAAAAUGUGAGGAGUGGCAACUGGUGGGGCGCUUAUCUCUUGACUCUUGUCUUUCCCUAGUCUGAAGGAAACAUGAUUUGUUUAAGAAGAUAAGCAAAGCGAUUUGGUUGAUUGGGAGUCAAUGAUUCUGCUAAACUUCACAUAUAUGUGAAAGAAAGAUGACAAAGACAGGGCCUAGUUACUUGCCGGCCGGAUGCAAGGCAGUCAGCAAAGAGCACCAAAGACAGUUUACUGACGAUAAUGGCAUCAUAGUUCAAAUGGUUUCGAUUUUCAAUAAAUGAAAUGUAACAACCCUGUACAUGAGAUAGCUUUUACGUUCUAAAAAUACAUUUAUAUAGUUUCACAAUAACACCAUGAUAUCGUGUUUAGUAAGAUUGCAAGACCAUUUGGACAAACACCCACUAUAGGAUGGAUCGACUUUAAUAUAAUUUAUAAUGACCCUUACGGGAUGAAUUGACUCUGAUAUAAUUUAUAAUGAUCCAUUUUUUCAUAUGGAGUAGACAAAUUAUAUAGAAAAAAGAGCAAGUCAUUACACGAAAUGCUUAAAACCCGAGAACAGUUGUGUUAAUGGGGUUAAAUCCAAACAACAAACAUAUAGCAAAAGAGCUUUUAUGGUAGCAUAUAAAUAAAUGAAAGAAGAACCUGUUUAACUUGAUUUUCUUAGUAGAUAUGCUAGCAUAAUUUUUAUUAGAUCGAGGAAGAAGAAAACAAAAUUUCUAUAUAUAUGUAUUAUUUUGGGGCUCUUUUUUUCUUUCAUUCUAGUGGUUUGUAACGAUAUGAGUCCAUACUGUGUGCAGGGGAUCACCACCGCCACCGCCACCGCCACCGCCACCGCCACCGCCCAUAUAAUGUUUGUUGUUUGGAGAUAAAAAAAAAAAAGCCCGAACUGACUUAACCAUCGGAGGAGGAUAACUCGGGGCGACAUUGGGUAAGCCUUGAUUUGCAGAUAAAAACGUGCGGCAAGUAGAGGACUGCAGUUUGGGAAAUUCAGCUCCAACAUCCCAUACCAUCAAUUAGUUAUAUAUGAAUUUGUUUGGCUCAAAUUAUGGAAAAAAAAAAUUAUUUUAUUUCGUAGGCUAAUAAUGUAGAUGGUGAUGGACUCUUAAAAUAAUUAUUUAAUAAAAAAAUAAAAUUUAAAAAUAUUCUGAAACAUCUUCACAAUCAUCAAUGGUGGCAGAUGUUUUGUGAACCAACACAUGACUUUAAAUAUUGCUGACUCAGAUAAGGUUAAAAUAAUUUUUGGAUGCCAACAUUUUAUUUUUUAGAAAAUAGAUUUUUAUUUUUUAUUUAUUUUUUAUACUUUUUAAAUAUAUAGGGAUAGAAAUUAAUAUAUUUCAAAUAACUUUGGGGUUAAUCUAGGAAUGAUCUCGAUAAACAUUUUUUUAAUGUAUAAUAAUUUUUAUUAUAAUUUUUUUUUAUAGAAAAAUAGUUAGUGUUUCAUGGCAUAAAAAAAAAGAUUUUAAGAAUAUUUUUUAUAUUAUGUUGCAUAAAAGAAAAAUAAUUUUGGAAGAAACAUCAUUGAGUUAAUUCAAAAAUUACUCUUAGUGAUUAUUUGAAUUUUUAGAAGCAAUUUCUAAAAUAUUGCCUAACAUCUAAUUAUUGUAAGAAAAAAAAUUUUCAGACAUUAAAAAAUAUUUUUAAACUUGUGAUAUCUUGAACGGGUUAAUAACGGUUGGAGUUGGAUUUGGGUACUCAAGUAGGCUUUCCUAACCCAAUCUAACAAAUAAAGAGAUGAGGAGUUUCUCUCACUCUCUCCAAAACAAAAAAAUACCAGUAAAAAAACUCUCUUUAUAAUUUCAUCUUCUUUUUUUUUCUCCAUAAAAGAAGAUUAAAGCAUUUAUGAUGUGAAAUAGAGUGCUUUUAAAAUUUUUGUAAUUUCAUUCAUGACUUGGGGUAGAGAAUUCAUAGGUGAAACAAUAAAUUUAGAUUUGAGGACUUUAGAAGAUAAUUCGAUGCCUUUUUUUUUUUGACAAUAAAUUUUUCAUAUUUUUUCAAUAAAAAGUUUGAAAAAUAUAUAAAAUUUUAAAUAAAUUUUAUUAUAUUUAAUUUUCUCCAUAUUUUUAUAAUAAAUCAAAUAGAAGAACUUAAAUUACUUCUAACUUAUUUUUUGCAUUAGGUUUUGACCAUAUCAUAUGUGUUGGUGCAUGACCAACAAGGAGGUAUCCAACUAGUCUUUGUGUGGUGUAGACGACUUUUUGAACGGAAUGUCCAAAUGGGUUUUCGGAAUAAACCCCUUUGAAGCUUAAGUCAAAGAUAGAAGACUUGAGUAAGAGAUUUUUGGAAAAAGUUACAACAUAUCUUUCCUGUUAUGAAAAAUGAUUAUUUAUCAUUACUCAAAUGUAACAUCUUCUCAGGUGUCUUAAUUGUGUCUUUGACUAUGCGUUGAUGAGCUUUAAUACUUGACAUUUUAUUCUAAUAACAGUUGUGUCAAUCAAUACAUAAUGCAUUUAAUGCUUGUUACAGUUAAUGCUUGACAGACAAGAAUGCAUGGUACCUAACUGUUUGUAUCCGUUUGUACCUUGGGAUGAACGGAUAAUACCACAUGACUUUUGUGUUGAACAUGCCUUGCGUUAGAUGACACUUGGGGAUCAUGCUAGACGAUAAUAAGCGUUUCACAACACUUACAAUGUGAAAAACCCAUGAGUUCAUAAUAGCACAUGAUGCUCUUGUGGUUCAAACCUAUAACCAUGGUUCCAACUCAUGAGUCUAACUUAUGAUACUAAUUUUUGAAUCAAAUCAAGAUAUGCUAAGUCAAUUAUGAUAUUCAACCAUCAUUAUUUGAAUGAUCCAUUUCUAAGCUUAAGAGUGGUAUUAUUAUAACACAAUAAUGUUUUUUUUUAAAUACAUUAUAUGACACAAAUAGAAUAUUAGAUGAUCAAAAUCCAAUCUAAAAUUUUAGCAAAUUUACCACGGAGUAAAAAAGUGACUAGAAAUGGAAAAACAAUCUUAAUAACUAUGAUUAAACACUUGGAUGCAAACAAAUAAAAUAAGGAGAUGGAUGAUGAUUAUUACAAAAAGUUGGUAGAAAAUCACACCUUGUGCACUUAAUCCUCUAAUGGAUAUCAAAUAUAAUAAAAAGUGAGUUUCCUAAAAAGUUGUAUGAUUUUACACCUACUUGAGAAAAUUUGGGUGUUGUUUAGUAUUUUGGAGGUAACAUUUCUUUUUCAUCUUUUAUUUUUUAAUUCUUUAUGAUUUAUCUUGGCUAUUUGUGAUUGGUUAAUAAUUAGUGAACUAAAAGGAAAAUUUUUUCCUUCCAUAGUUUUUUUUAGCCUUUUUGAUGUGACGUAAUUAUUACUAUUUAGAAAUGGUUCCACAUAACACAUAAUAAUAAUAAUAAUAAAAAUAUUAUUAUUAUUGUUUUAUUAUUAAACUCAAUUAAAAAUAAAUUAUUAUUAUAUAAAAUUUUAAUUUUUUAUAAUGGAUGAACUUUUUAUGAUUAAGCUAUUAGAACUCUAUGAGAUCAAUAACAAACACUACUAUAUGUGCUAGUUGUUAUGAAAUAUUGUUUUCUUUAAUAGUUUUCAUUUAUAAAAUACUUAUUAAAAAGUGGACAUUGAUCCUUUUUAUCGGUGGAGGUAAGUGGACAUGGCAUCAUUCCUUUUGGAAGUGGUUUUUGACUUUUUAUAGCACGUGGCCAUAAAAAAAUAUUUUUAAAAUGAAGAGGAUAUGAUUUAAAAAUAUAGGAGAAUCAUUCCAACAGCUGGGUCAAAUCUUCUCACUUUAGAUAUUAUUGUUACGGUAUUUGAGACUGUCGGUGGUGCCGUCGGCGGGCGACGGAUGCCGGACAGGGGAUGUGGCCCGACGGAGAUCGGAGCCGAUGAUGGAAACGAGGAAGAAGACGACUGUGUGGUGGUUCUCACUUCUCAUGGGUAUCUCCAGUGGGAAGAAGGCUUGUUGAGGGCUUCCAAAUGGUAAAAAAAUUAAAAAAAUGGCGGCAGAAAUUUUGGUGCGGGUUAGUGAUAUUUCUAAGAUUUUUUUUUUAAUAAUUUAAUUUUUGUCACUUCGGAUAAAAAAAACAAUAAUAAUUUUUAUAUAAAGUUAAAAGACUUGAUUAUAAAAAACAUUUUAUUUUAUUAAUUUUUUCAAAAUUUAAAGUGAUUUUUAAAAACAUAAAUAAGUUUAUAUUUUUUAUAUAACAGUUUCCGUUUUUAAUAUAAAAAUUGUAACUAAUUUUUAUUUUGAAAAACGAAAAACAAAAAGUGUCAAAACAAUAUCUUAUGAGGAUAAUUUUCUAUUUUUUGUUUUGAGUGAAGUCUUAAAUCCUAUUUGGUAAUUAUUUUGAAAACAAUUUUAAAAAAUAAUUUUUGAGAACUAAUAUUUUAUAAGAAGUCUUUGAGAAGUUGAAAUAUUUUUAAUCUAUUUUAAUAUUUUUAAAUAUAUUUUAAAAAUAAUUUUUAUGUUUAAAGUUUUAUUUUAAGUCAUUAUGCAUAUUUGUACAAUUAUUUUUUAAAACAAUUUAAAAAAUGAAAAUAAUUAAAAAUAAUUAAAAGAUGUUAUUUGAAAACACCCCAUUUUAUCUUCUUAAGAGCAAAAAAUAGAAAAUAAUUUUUUAAUAGUCAAAUAUAUUUUUUAAUUUUUUAUUAUUUUAAAAAAUAAAAUAUUGAAAUCGAAAAUAGUUGCCAAACAUACCUUUCAAUUUUAAAAUUAUUGAAAAUAAUUUUUCUGGAUAUAAUUAUUUUUAAUUUUUAACAAAAAACCGAAAGUUUAUCCAAAUGAUUUUGUUUUUCCAAUUUUAUAAUAAACAAUCAAAUAAAAAAACAUUAAAUUUUUCCUUACCAAUUUCUUUGCCUUGAACUAUUUAGAACCAAGCAUAACCUAUUCUAAACCCAGAUUUGUCCUGCCCCGAUGCAAUAUAAGCCCAUUUGUUACUAGCUCGAUUUAGGCAUGGCCCAUUAUCAGUCCUUAACCCAGCGCAGGCCCCAAUGUAGACUAGUUCCCUGUUGGGCCAAUAUGAUUUGGCCACUCUUUUUCUUAGCCCAUGUUCUUUCAAGUCCAUUAUUAUUUUUAUGUUUACUUUAUUUUUAUUUUUUGAUUUUAAUUUAAUUUUUAUUAUAUUUUUUACCUUUAUUUUAGUCUUAUUGUAAUGUUUUGUGGUGACUAUGAUAUGAUUUUAUUUAUUUAUUUUGGAUAUAUUAUUAAUAUGGAUGACAAUGAGAUGGAUUCAGGAUGGAUCACCUCUGUCCCAAUCUUGUUCUAUUUAUUCAAAAUAAUUAUCAUCUUUGUCCCAUUAAAAAAAAAUUAAACGGGGUGAGAUAGGGUAGAUAUGCAAAUUUCUCAUACCCAUCCCAUCCUAUUUUGUUUAAUUUUUUUUGAAAGACUUUUCUUUAAAAAAAACAUUUGAAAAUUUUUAAUUAUAUUAAAGUAAAUAUGUUUUAUAAAUAAUUAAAAUAUUAUAAUUUUUUUUAUUGAAAAGUAAUUUAUUAUUAUUAUUAUAUAUGUUAAAAAUUAAAAAUUGUUGAAAUUAUUUUUCAUAAUUAAUUUUAUAUAUAAUUGGGGUGAGAAUGAAGUAGGACAAUAUAAUAUUUAAAUCUACCCCAAGUUUUUAAAAAACCUUAUAUCUGCUCUUAAUCUGUUUAUUUAAAUUUUGAACUCACUCAUUAGAGACAAGAAAUACUUGGAAAAACUGUUCCAUUUCUACCUUAAUUAUAAAGCUUGUGGACAAUUUUGAAAACAUUUGAAAACAUAUGACUCAUGUUUUCAAAUGCCAUUUGAAUGCUAACUUCACAUUGUCACAUGAAUGUAUAUUUGGAGGCAUGGAUGAUUUUGGAUGGAUCUGGGAACGACGUACCUCUAGUUAUAGUGGUAAUAUAAUUAGGGGUGACAGAAUUUGUUACGAUAUGUUAAUAUAAUUCAAACUUAACAUAUAUUUCAUGAGUUUAGAUAAAAUACACUCAAAUUUGAAUCAAUUUAUAUAACUUAUUUAAUAAAUAAUUAGUUUUUGAAUCAAUAUGCAUAACAUAAAUAUAAUUUGAAUGAACCUAAUUAAUAAUCUUACUAAUUAACUUUAAAUUAUUUAAUUUAUAUUUAACUCAUUUUAAAUAAAUAGAUUAAUUAUGAAGUUAAAACGUUAAUGAUAUAGAUUUAUACAGGACUAUAUGAGAAUGAGAGAGGUGAGGGGGGAAGUCGUCGGAAGUGGCUGCCGCCGGUGGCGGCCACCGGCUGGCAGUGGUGGUGGCCGCAAGUGAAAGUGAGGGUGGAUGGGUGUGGAAAAGAAAAAGGGGAAGAAAGAAAGAAAAGAAUAAAAAAAAACUGGUAAAAAAGAAAAGGGAGAAAGAGAAGAAGGAGGAGAGAGAGAGCGAAUGGGGACGGCUGGAGAUGGGUUUUGGGUGAUAGGCAUAGGCGGAGAGAACUGAGAAGAGGGAAAAAGAAAAGAAAAGAGAAGAGAGAAAAAGGAAAAGGGGAGAAGAGAAAAAAAGGGGGGACGUGGGAACGGGGCCAGAGUCGGAUUUGAAUGAAUGAAAUAAAAAAAAAAAGAAAAAAAAAAAAGGAAAAAACAAGAAAAAGAAAAAAAAUUAAAAAAACAAAAAAAGAUAAAAUAAAUAAUAAUAAAAUAAAAAGUGAGAAUAAUUUGAAAUAAAUUUUGGGAUUUACAAUCAUUUUAACAAAUUUAUUUAUUUAUAUAUUUAUGUAAAUGAAAUUAGAAUAUCACUAUCUAACUUGUCCAUUUACCAAGUUCAUCAUGCUUUCUAGAUUAAUACAUGUAUAUUAUAUACUAUUAUGAUAUGGUAUCCAUUAGUUAAUUAAUAAAUUAUUUGUUUUUUUGUCAACAUAUUAAUAUAGAUCGAGAUUAGUUUGGGCUUAGUAAUAGCUUGACCAUGGACUGAGUUAUGAUUUUAAUUUUAUUAUUUUAUUUUUAAAAAUUUAAAAAUAAGAUAAAUAAUAAGCCUCCAUGUUUUUCUAAAAAAUAAAAUAAAAGAACCUUUUAAGGGUAUGUUUGGUAUAUGAAAGUUCAAAGAAAAAAAGAGAAACUUUUAAAAUAUAUAUAUAUAUUUAAGAAAAAAAUAUAAUAUUUUUAUUUACUUAUACAAAAUAUAAUAAAUAAUGUUGUUUUUAGGGUGUUAAGAGAAUGUUAUUAAUUAAACCUAAAUUCUAUAAAUUUAAACUUUCCAAAAAUUCUUUUGUUCUAUAACUCUUGUACCUAAACUUUUAGGAAGAUUAAGAAAAUUUUAAAAAUAAUUUUGAAGUACAUGGGUUAAAUCUAUAGUUUUUAAUACAAGAGUAAAUAUAUAAAAUAUUAUUAUGAUUUUAUAUUUGUAAAGAAAAUAAGUGAGACUAAUUGGCAUCCAUUGAAAAUCAUUGGCCCAUUUUAGGUUUGAAACUCCGAGCCUUCUUAGUCCCGCACCCGGCACCGCUCAGGCACCACUAGAGCGAAAUUGAUAUUUAAAAGGAAAGAGAAGGUCAACUCUUUAUAAUUCUUCAUACUAUAUUCUCCAUAAUAUUCUCUUUCACUUUAUCCAUACAUUCAUCGAGGAUGAAAGCUUAUUCAAUAUAUUAUUACAACUGAUAUAGAUAGACUAACACCCAGUUCACACACUGCUCUUAAUGGAAGAGCUGUAUCCACUCUGAUCAUCAUAGUACUUUGACCACAGCAUCACGCCUCCAUACUUGGCUGAUCUCUUAAUGACCGGAAGAAUUUGAGAGGUCAACACAUUGGCCGGAAUAAACCCACUUCCGGCAGCUGCAGAGGAUGCCGGCAGGCCCAUGAAGAUCCGUGAAUUUAUCGAUGAAGUCCACCGGUUCCAUGAAUUCAGAAGGUUAUUGGUGUUGCCAGAAGAAUACUGGCAUGGGGCAUUGUUAUAGAAUUGCACCCAGACAUAGUCAAAAAGGCCUGUGUUAAGGGCAGUGCCCAGGAACUUAUCUGGGAAUGGACAUUGAGGGGCUGCAGUGAGGUAUACCUUCCUUCCACGCUUGCUGAAACCUGAUAAGGCUCGAGCAAGGUCAUCCCAGUGCAGGGUCGAACCGAGCUCGAUGUCGAAGUCUAUGCCAUCUAAUACUGCAUCACCUAAUGGCCGAGACGAUGAUUGUCCUCCCAAGAAGUUGUUCCACAGAUAAUUGGCUACGUUUUGGGCAUCAUUGGAAGAGGACAGAGAGUAACUUCCAACCCCACCACCUAUAGAGAGCAUGACCUUAAUGCCUCGAUUUUGGCAGUUUCUUAUGCCGGUACUGACGGAGGUGCAGCCAUUGGAAGCAGGGUUGCAAUGGCCAGCAAGGUUGAUUUCAGGGGUCUGGCCAUUACCGAACUUGUUGAGGAAGGCUAUGUUAACGUAGGAGUAUUUUCCGGUGUUGCAGGUUUGGGUUAGGGUCCCUUCAUUGCCGUUUUGGCCCCAGUAGAUGGCGAUGCCACCAGCAUAAGAGGUCUGGAGGAGGGCUAGGACUGAGAGGGAGAUGAGCAGAGGUGUGGAUUGGGGGGUUCUAGCCAUUCUUGCAGGAGGCUGUCUGGCCU
rnacentral:lncRNA from 1 species